rfam:Myotis davidii contig136486, whole genome shotgun sequence.
GGCAGUUCUCGGGUAACACGCCCCAGAAUCGGGCUCCCUCCUCUCUGGUUCCGGGUGUGUCACCUGAGAACUGCA